rnacentral:rRNA from 1 species
UGGGGAAUAUUGGACAAUGGGCGAAAGCCUGAUCCAGCCAUGCCGCGUGUGUGAAGAAGGCCUUUUGGUUGUAAAGCACUUUAAGUGGGGAGGAAAAGCUUGUGGUUAAUACCCAUAAGCCCUGACGUUACCCACAGAAUAAGCACCGGCUAACUCUGUGCCAGCAGCCGCGGUAAUACAGAGGGUGCAAGCGUUAAUCGGAAUUACUGGGCGUAAAGCGCGCGUAGGUGGUUAUUUAAGUCAGAUGUGAAAGCCCCGGGCUUAACCUGGGAACUGCAUCUGAUACUGGAUAACUAGGGUAGGUGAGAGGGGAGUAGAAUUCCAGGUGUAGCGGUGAAAUGCGUAGAGAUCUGGAGGAAUACCGAUGGCGAAGGCAGCUCCCUGGCAUCAUACUGACACUGAGGUGCGAAAGCGUGGGUAGCAAACAGGAUUAGAUACCCUGGUAGUCCACGCCGUAAACGAUGUCUACCAGUCGUUGGGUCUUUUAAAGACUUAGUGACGCAGUUAACGCAAUAAGUAGACCGCCUGGGGAGUACGGCCGCAAGGUUA